rnacentral:rRNA from 1 species
GACGAACGCUGGCGGCGUGCUUAACACAUGCAAGUCGAACGGUGAAGCGCCUUCCUUUUUGGUGGGUGUGGAUGAGUGGCGAACGGGUGAGUAACACGUGAGUAACCUGCCCCCUUCUUCUGGAUAACCGCAUGAAAGUGUGGCUAAUACGGGAUAUUCUGGGUCUGUCGCAUGAUGGGUCUGGGAAAGAUAUUGUUUCGGUGGGAGAUGGGCUCGCGGCCUAUCAGCUUGUUGGUGGGGUGAUGGCCUACCAAGGCGGUGACGGGUAGCCGGCCUGAGAGGGUGGACGGUCACACGGGGACUGAGACACGGCCCAGACUCCUACGGGAGGCAGCAGUGGGGAAUAUUGCACAAUGGGCGCAAGCCUGAUGCAGCGACGCCGCGUGAGGGAUGGAGGCCUUCGGGUUGUGAACCUCUUUCGCCAGUGAAGCAGGCCUGCCUCGUUUGUGGGUGGGUUGACGGUAGCUGGAUAAGAAGCGCCGGCUAACUACGUG